GACAGAGGGUGCAAACGUUGUUCGGAAUUACUGGGCGUAAAGCGCGUGUAGGCGGUCGGGCAAGUCGGAUGUGAAAGCCCAGGGCUCAACCCUGGAAGUGCACUCGAUACUGCUCGGCUAGAGUCCCGGAGAGGAUGGUGGAACUCUCGGUGUAGAGGUGAAAUUCGUAGAUAUCGAGAAGAACACCGGUGGCGAAGGCGGCCAUCUGGACGGUGACUGACGCUGAGACGCGAAAGCGUGGGGAGCAAACAGG
rnacentral:rRNA from 1 species